AUUGAACGCUGGCGGCAGGCUUAACACAUGCAAGUCGAGCGGAGACUUCGGUCUUAGCGGCGAACGGGUGAGUAAUACCUAGGAAUCUGCCUAUUAGUGGGGGAUAACGAAUCGAAAGGUUCGCUAAUACCGCAUACGUCCUACGGGAGAAAGGGGGGGAGUCUUCGGACCUCUCGCUAAUAGAUGAGCCUAGGCCGGAUUAGCUAGUUGGUAGGGUAAAGGCCUACCAAGGCGACGAUCUGUAGCUGGUCUGAGAGGAUGGCCAGCCACACUGGAACUGAGACACGGUCCAGACUCCUACGGGAGGCAGCAGUGGGGAAUAUUGGACAAUGGGGGCAACCCUGAUCCAGCCAUGCCGCGUGUGUGAAGAAGGCCCUAGGGUUGUAAAGCACUUUCAGUAGGGAGGAAUUAGUAGGGUUAAUAACCUUAUGAAUGACGUUACCUACAGAAGAAGUACCGGCUAACUCCGUG
rnacentral:rRNA from 1 species